UGAAUCUUCUCGCUUAUCUUCUCCAUCACGGACUCAAUCGGACUUUCAGAAUGCUCCGCCAUGCUAUCGCGAUCAACCAAAUCCUAUUUAAAUUUCUAAUUUCGCCGAAAUGAAAUUUCCUAUAUAAAUUCGGUGGCCGUGAUACAUGGAGCGAGUAACAAGCGACUGAAAAUGUAGGUUAGCAUGGUGGCCACUGUACCAUAGAC
rnacentral:misc_RNA from 1 species